UACGGAGGGGGCUAGCGUUGUUCGGAAUCACUGGGCGUAAAGCGCACGUAGGCGGAUCUUUAAGUCAGGGGUGAAAUCCCAAGGCUCAACCUUGGAACUGCCUUUGAUACUGGGGAUCUCGAGUCCGGAAGAGGUUGGUGGAACUGCGAGUGUAGAGGUGAAAUUCGUAGAUAUUCGCAAGAACACCAGUGGCGAAGGCGGCCAACUGGUCCGGUACUGACGCUGAGGUGCGAAAGCGUGGGGAGCAAACAGG
rnacentral:rRNA from 1 species